rnacentral:tRNA from 1 species
GGUGGCUUAGUGGUAGAGUGCUUGCCUCACAUGCAGGAGGCCCUGGGUUCAAUUCCUCAGCACCA